AAGCUUGUAGAAAAUACAAAGGUAGGCUAUAGAAAAUAGACAUAAAGAUUACAAAUAACGAUUAAAUAAAAAUGUAUUAAAAUAAAAGAGAACAGCUCCAAAUGAAAGGUGGAUGAGUUAAUAAUAUGAUUUUGAGUCAAUAAUAUGCUCAAAUUUGAAAGGGAUACAGAUGAGUGCUUUGUAGAAGUAACACUUGUGAAAAUGCGGCAAGCAUAUUUAAAAACUAGAUCGCUCUUCUCAACAGCUAAUGGCAGUCUACUGUAGUGUCCUGCUGUCCUGCACUAGAGGUCAGUGAGCACUAGAUUGAGUAGCAGCGCUGGUGCUCACAGCUCUCGCCGGGUGCAGUGGCGCGCGCCUGUAAUCCAAGCUGCUGGGAGGCUGAGGCUGGCGGAUCACUUGAGUUCAGGGGUUCUGGGCUGCAGUGGACUAUGUUGAUCGGGUGUCCGCGCUAAGUUCGGUAUCGAUAUGGUGCUCCUGGGGGAGCUCGGGACCGCCAGGUCGUCUAAGGAGGGGUGAACCGGCCCAGGUCGGAGACGGAGCAGGUCAAAGCCCCCGUGCCGAUCAGUAGCGGGAUCGCGCCUGUGAAUAGACACUGCAGUGUCUAUUCACAGGCGCGAUCCCGCUACUGAUCGGCACGGGGGCUUUGACCUGCUCCGUCUCCGACCUGGGCCGGUUCACCCCUCCUUAGACGACCUGGUGGUCCCGAGCUCCCCCAGGAGCACCAUAUCGAUACCGAACUUAGCGCGGACACCCGAUCGACAUAGUCCACUGCAGCCCAGAACCCCUGAACUCAAGCGAUCCGCCAGCCUCAGCCUCCCAGCAGCUUGGAUUACAGGCGCGCGCCACUGCACCCGGCGAGAGCUGUGAGCAUCAGCGCUGCUCCUCAAUCUAGUGCUCACUGCGCCCUCUAGUGCAGCACAGCAGGACACUACAGUAGACUGCCAUUAGCUGUUUUCAAAUAUGAGCAUAUUAUUAACUUAAAAUCAUAUUAUUAACUCAUCCACCUUUCAUUUGGAGCAGUUCUCAUUUAUUUUAAUACAUUUUUAUUUAAUCGUUAUUUUUAAUCUUUCUAUCUAUUUUCUAUAGCCUACCUUUGUAUUUUCUACAAGCUUGAUUAUUAAAUUGUUUGUAUUAUGUGUGUUUGUGUAGUAUCUAAAUUACAUGUGUAAAACAGGAUAGCCGAACAUAAUAAUUUACUGUAUACAAUAAUAGACUUAUCUCACAAUUCAUCAAUGAAAGCCAGUUAUGUUAUUUACCAAGGGCUGAAAAGAAAGUGUUUAUGUGUGAAAUAUCUCGAAGGCCACUUAUGAGAUGAAACCCCCAAAAUUAAUUUGUGAGAGUAAUUGAGAUUAUCUCGAGUUAAUUCUGCAUCUAGCACAUCAUGGGUCAAUACAAGAAAACACUGAAUCACUUAACUUAGGCUCAAAAGGGCUGUAUUUUGUGUUCUUUUUGUUGUUGCUGUUUCUUUAUUAUGGUAAGACAGGUCCUCAGAGAAUAAGGCAAAUACACAACGUCUGAGUCCUGCUAUGCUGCUCAGGCUGAACUUCAGCGUGUGUGUGUGUGUGUGGUUUGGAGUGGAUUUUUGUUUGUUAAUCAUUUAAAAAUUGCUAAAGGCAUUGUAUAUAUCUCCAGUCACUCCUCAGGUCCAGCAGAACUGCCUUGUUUUACAUGUCAUUUAAUCUAGUUCAACACACACACACACAUCAAAUACACCUUUGCAUAAAGACAACAAAAUAUGCAAAAUACUUAUUUUCAAACACUUAACGUAGUAUUUGAAAUUAACCUAUUUUAAGUCCAUUAUGCAACAUAAAAAAGUCUCUUUCCAUAUCCUCACGUUGUUAUUAUUUAUUAACUAACAAGAUAUAUA
ensembl:lncRNA